rnacentral:lncRNA from 1 species
GUAAAUUCAAAUGCUGGCCUGAAGGUACUUCAAUUUCCUUUUUUCUCUGUGAUAGCAGUACUGCUAGCAGAUAGAUGGAGGACACUCCAGGUCAUCUGGGUGGUUCUCAGAUAUCGCAUAUGGAACACCACAGUAUAUAAGGAAGACCGAAAAAAAACAGGAAUCAAAACAAGACCAGGUUCAAUCAUGGUUCCUGCGUUCCUGCAUUUUUGCGGCGGCUGCGACAGAAUGGUCACCCCUCCAGAAGAACCCAUCAUUACGUGAUCAUAUACACGAGUGCACCAGUGACCGCAUGCCUCAGCGAAGAGCUUCCCUAAAAGCAGGAACUCUAUGUGGAGUGCUGAGGGGAACCUCACAGCGCUUUGAUUCAGAGACCCGGUUUCCUGAUUAACAGCUGGAAUGCACUCUCUUUCGCCAAGUCUGAGUGUUUGAGAGCCUCUGAGAGAGCCGAGCCCUCAAACACCUGCAGCAGCGCUCUCCUAUACCAGCAUAGGUUUAUUUAUGAAUGAAUGAGGAAUGUUCGCGCAGAGAAUUCCGCAGAUGAGAGCAUUUAUUUGGCCGCGAGCUUUGCCAAAAAGGCUUGAGCUGCCUGAUUUUUUGAUGGGUUCUUGAGACCCUAUGUGAGCGAAUUGAAGCGCCAACCCCAAGGACUCAGCUGUUGCUUUAACUUUACUCAGUCAAGGACACAUCUGGUGGAUAAAGGAUUAAAAUAAACACUCUGUCCAUUAGAACA